CCUGGAAAAGAAAGGCAAAGGAGAGGAUGUUAAAUGAGGAAGAACAUCUCAUGGAAAAGGCCAAGUACAGAUGCGUUGCUCUCCAGGAACGGUUCACCAUCAUUCCCAGCACGGUACGCUACAGAGUGCUGUUUGCAAAAGUCUCCUGUAUGAGCAUAUGUCACCAUUAGCAAAAGCUGCCAGUUUCCUGAAACACUUAACAGCAGCACUGGCUGGAACAGCUAGUGUAAGCUACACUGACAAUAAGCCAACAUGUCCGCGUUCCAACAAAAAUCCCCAGUAGUGAGGAAACCGUAUCGUAACAAAUGUGCACCAAAAGCCACGAUUGCAUCCAACAAUAUCACCAAAAUCCUUCCAACUUGUGGUGCAAGCGUUUGAGCGUUCAGUGUUCUAUCAAGGAGAAAAAUAGAGAACAGAUCAGCAGUAAUUAACUACUUCAUUAAAGGCAAGAAGUCCCAGCAGGAUGGUUGCACUGAUAGCUGGAACAAAGUAAAUGACUGCAGUUUGCUCAGUCUCUUCGGUAAUAGUUUCUGUAAUGUCCUCUGCCUUUCAGACAGCAGUCCAGCAGAACUAAGAUGCCCACUUAUCAAGUAACUACACAUUUGUCACAAAAGUGACAAAUCAAUGCAGACUACAGUUCUGAAGACAAAACCUGUAACUUCUUCUCACACUCAUUUCACCAAGGGAAAGCUAAAGGUCACAACGCCUAUCGGCAGUAAUAAAUUGCUUCAACAAAAUUAGAGACUAAGGGAACAUGAAGGUAGGGGAUUAAACUGCCAAAUGUUGUCAGUUUAGGCACUUGGCACACCCUGCUGGUCUCUGGCUGCUGUUCAGGAAACGCUGGGUCUCCUCUCAGCCCUGUGGCAGUUCUGCAGCCCUCUACCACUGUCUGAAACACCCCUGAAACACCUCAAAUGACAGAGAUCAUGGUUCAAGCAACUGAAGCCCACCUUGAGCCUCCUUCCUGAAAGUGUAUGACUGAAAAGCAGAGAUUCAGACACCCUAAAGGAUAAGCAUCCAAUUCAAGAUUUUUUGGCAAGGACAUGGAGGAACAAGCAGACAGAAAGUCUUAAAAGAAGCAGAAGGAAAUUAUAUUCCACACAGCAUAUAAUCACAUUACUGAACUCACUGCCACAGGCUGAUGUAAAGGCCAAACAUAUAAAUGAGUUAAAAAAGGAGUUAGAAAGAUUUAUUUAGAUGUGAAGAAGUGCAUGUGACCUCCAACUCUUGAAGGCCCCAAGCAGCAGAGUGCCAGAAAAUGUUUAACAGGGGAAGCAUUACUCAAUAAAACUCCAUGUUGCUAUGGCCUGAAGGGUUUCAUUUACUCCCUGAGAGUACUUGCAGUAGAGUAUUUCACUGGGAGAGCACUGAAGGAGCAAUGCUGUCUGCCCAUGGCUCUGCUUCUCUGGAAUGCUUUGUGCUAACCUGCAUGCUGGGCCCUCACCACAGUCUAUGAAGAAGGAACACCUGAGUGGAGUCAGGAUAUCCAAGAUGCAUCUUUCAUGCAACUCAUUGCCUGUGCCCUGCAGAAGCCUGACUGUUAACACUGCCCAGCUACAGGGCUGCUCCUGUCCCUCCUGACACAGCUGUUGUCUUUAACAAGAGCAAUCCUUUCUUGUGGGAUAAAUCACGCUCACUAACACAAGCUGGAAGAAAAGACCAUUCUCUUCCAAAUGUUCAAAUACUGUGAUAAUUACACACUGUUGGCAUUCCUACAGUGCACAGAAGCUUGGAAUGACAUUAGUUAAUAUUCACCAGCAUAUACAGAAUGGAAAAAAAAAAGACCUAAGAAAUGUCCAGGGAAGUUUCCUUCUGGAGAGCUACUACCACUUUUUACCUUCAAAUACACACUAAUUUUGAAGUAAAUGAGCUGUUCUACUUGGUUCUAAAGUGAUGACAUCUCCCUUCAUGCACUAAGGUACAGAAAAAAAGAGAUGCAUCACAUUAAUUUCAUAUAAAAAACAUUAAUGUACAGUCCUCCCCCUAAUCCUAUGCAAGAACUUGUCAUUAGCUCAUAAGCACGUCAAGGAACAGCGUAUGAAAAAUUCCUGCCGAGUUUUGGUCAAAACACAGCUUAGAUGUAAGGGAUAAUAUUUCUUGCACCAGGCAGGCUGUAAUUAAAUGCUAGCACAAACUUUCAGAAGCAAUUGUAGUAAUGGCCCUUAAUCUUCAUUUACUCCUAUUACAGUGCAAUCCCUCUGGCUGAGAUCAAUCUAGGAAGGAGAACAUUUGACAGAGUCAUAGGAAAGCAAUAAUUUUGGACUGGAGAUCCUCUGGUAAACUGAAACAUAACUGUCACUGGUCUGCUCUACUUAUAUGAAGCUCUGAUAUGCUUAGGUAUGUUUUUAGCAAAUGGUACCAUUAUAAACAUGGUAUAAACGGACUAUUCUACAUCAUCCUACAAACAUACUGACUCUGGAAGCUCCUGUCAAGCAACCUCUGGCUUUAAAUACUGUUCUUCCUUGCCUGCAGCAUGCUACAGACGUGGGGCAGGAAGGUGCUGGGGGCUGUUAUCAGGAAACCUGUAGAGGGAGCAGACAUUACUUGAGGGUUCACAAGCACUCAUUCAGAUUCACAGUGAAUCAAUACCAGACCUUUCUGGGACUCCAAGGCCACUCAUUUCCAGCUCAGAAACUGCAACCAAACUGCUAAAGCCCAUCUUCAGAAAAAUCCAGUACUACUUAAUACUGUUUUGUUCUGUCAGACACACAGCUGUAAAGGUAACAAAAGCGAGCUGAUUUUAUAGGAAAAGUCUAGGUCUAGGAAGAAUAACUUACUUAAAUCAAAAGAAAAUAUAAGCAAGUUUUUCAGAAAUCUGGCACAGCAGGUUCAAAUUGCUCAAUUGUUCAGACACAGGUCGCGAUGGAUGCAGAGAUCCCAAGCUAUUCUUUCCAUAAAUAAAAAUUACAGGCAUGUAUACUAGUACUUUUUUCUUUUCUCUGUUAAUUGCUGCCAUAUUUUUGAGAUAACCACACUUCAAAUCUGUUCUCCCUCCACAAAAGCUGUGCAGCAUUACGCUGGGUGAUUAACCAGACAUGAGUACCUCUCCAUGUUCUGCCUGUAUCAUGGGUCAUAACUUCCUCUGCACAAAAGCGGAACAAUUGCACGUCUCCUCCUAAGCCAUCUGAGUUUACAGCUCAGUGCAUGAUCAUAAACCACUGCUGACUGCAGUUCAUGUGAACAGCUGGACUGUAAAGUCCAUCAGCCUUGGCAUUGUGGUCCCAGGACAGCGCAGGAAGGGCGGAUAAGCCAGAAGAGAACACAAUUUGGCUGUACCCCAGCUGUUGCACCAGCCAACCCUUAGCUGGGCAUCACUGUCCCACCAGCAGCUUGGAUGUACAUGAAAACAGCAGAGCACAGGGCGGUGGUGGCUCAGGAGCUGCUGCCCAUGUCCCUGCCAGCCCUGUGCCCCAGGCUGCCCUGAGGUGGAGGAAGAAUGAGGUGAGGGGGGCUUCAAACUGGCUCUGAGCUCACUGCCCCCUUGUGACAUUGUUUGCUCUGCAGCAGCCAAAAUUAAGCCUUCCACUACGGUUACAUCAGGUGCUUCUGUAUUUAUUCACUAGCAUCUACCGUGCCUCGAGUCUGCUCUUUUUAAAGACCUGCCACUGCUUUGCAUUUUGCUGUCUGGGGGAGAGGUGUUUACUGCUGAACUAUGUUAGCGCUAAUGAUGCCACCAGCCCCGGAGCAGCUUUGCAACACAAAAUAAAAAGAUGAAAGUCCUUCUUUCUUACCUUAGGCUCCCUUGUAAAAGCACCAGAGGCAGAUUGGGAAAGCAGUCUAAUUUAGAUUCACAAUUCCUCACCUGCUUGCACAGAAGAGUGAAGUGUUUCACAGGUUUUCUGCGAAUUCUCUGUGGACAGCUAUCAUGUCUGUGGGUACACAGCUCAGGCUGGAGCCUGGCUGUCCCUGCUCUGGGGCACCUUGGCUUCUGAGCUCCUUUCCUGUGGCAGACAUGACCUGAGCAACCUUCUGCAAUGAUGCAGCAAAAAUUUAUCAGGGUUAAGUGCUGGGGGUGGGGGGUGAAGUAACUUCCACGAGGGAGCAAACAGUUGAAAACAACAAUGAAUCACAGAAUGGCUUGGGUUGGAAGUUACAUUAAAGAUCACCCAGCGCCAAUCCCUGCCAUGGUCAGGGCUGCCACCCACCAGCUCAGGCUGCCCAGGGCCCCAUCCAAACAGGCCUUGAGUGUCUCCAGAGGCAAAGCCCUCUCUAGUCUACUGCCUCACCAUCAUAUGAGUAAAGAAGUUCUGCCUAACAUCUCACCUAUAUCUCCCCUCUUUCAGUUUAAAGCCAUUCCCCCUUGUCCUAUCACCGUAUGCCCAUGGAAAAAGACAAUCCCCCUCCUGUUUGUAAGCACCCUUCAAGUACUGGAAGGCUGUAAUGAGGUCUCCUUGGAGCCUUCUCCAAGAUCAACAAGCCCAGUUCCCUCAACCUGUCUUCAUAGAAGUGCUCCAGCCCUCUGAUCAUCUUAGUGGCCCUAACAUAUGCAAUAAUUUCCUGGUACUGUAUGUGUAAUCAAUAUACCUUCCAUAAAGCCUAUUAUCUACCUAAGAGCUCAAACUAACUGUUUCUAUAUAGCUCAGAAGACACAGAUAUUUUUAAUUAAGAAGCAAAUGAGAGUAAUACUCUCCCUAAAACUUAGAAAAAUAUAUAUCAUAGCUUUCCACUCAUUAUUAUUAAUAUUUUUAAUAUACUUUCACCAAAGAAGGCAUUAAUUCCAUUCUUAAAAAAAAAUAAUGAAUUAAAGCUGAGGAGGUUUCAUCCACGCUUUAGGCACUAAAAGACUGAAAGAUGUUAUUUAAGAAAAAUACUACCGCAGUCUUUCAAUUGCAGCACCAUUGCUCAAACUGGGCAAGGAGAGUAUUAGCUGAUACUUGUAAAAUGGAGGGAAUACUAAUACAAGAGUGUUCGCUUUGAAAACGGGAGAUACUUAUUUCUGCAGACAGUAGCUCCAUCAUUUCUGGUCACAAACAGAAUGAUGUGUUCCAUAUCUGCUGAAUUUGCUUUACAGGCGAUACUGGAAUUAAGGCCCUUGGGUGAGGGCACAGUAAUUGAAUAUCAAUCUCCCAGUACAGCUUGUCACCGAAAUAAACGUGGAGCACUCAGGCUCCAAUGAGUGGACAGAACGUAAAUUAAGAAAGCCCAGAGCAGCGUGAUCUCUUUUCAGCAGCACAGACUUCUAACCCUUUCUCUACAAAAGAAAAAUCCUUUCUGUUGGUGGCUUGGAAUUUGAUGCCCUUAUUCAUAUUGAGUUAAUGCCAGGAAAUCCACGGGAUUACAUAUGAAGACAAUACCUAAUGUGCAAAAUGGGAACAAAACCUGGCCGAGUGGGUUUAAAAUUGCAUGAUCUGACAAUGCACAAAUGGAUUCAUGCAUAAAGCAAAAGCUGCUCUGUAACUUACCUCAUAUACUCCACGAGCACACGGAGAACUGUGCUUUAUAUUCAGCUCUGCAAGUAACUAAGCACUCUCUGGAACCAACAGUGAGCACAAACACAACUGGAGAGCAGCACGCAAUUCAUUGAACAAGGCCGUGCUUUUAGGGUCAUGCUGCUGGAAUAUGCGAGCGAGUAAAAACAUGGCCAUUUUUCUAACCUUCAUAUUGUUAUUUGCAUCAAAUGUCCUUAGCAGCAGAACCUUCUCCUUUUUCUGCACAAUACACAUACAUAUGAAUGAGGAUAAUGGAAAUCAACAACCUGCUUUGCUGAUCUGGAGAACAAUUCUCAGACCAUACGUGAAGGGCUGGAUAUGAAAUCAAUUUCACACCAUUUCUGAACUGGUGCAGACUGAUGACAUGCCGAGCACCCUUUUUUCAUCCAUUUGAAAGGACCUGACCUUUGAGGGCAGACGUAAUCUGCACUGAGGAUCUCACUCCUCCAAAUACCCGUGCAAGCCGCUACAGCAAAUGCAAAGAAUUGCUGUAUUUCAAGACAUCGCAUCACAACAAAUCCUGGCUUACCCAGUGCAAUGUGUGGGUGACUGAGGGCUCGCAACAGCUCAGCCGAACACCCAGUGUAGUGCAUUUUCAUGAGCUCGCCCUGCUGCACAGGAAAGGACAUUUCACAGCUACCUGCAACUGCACUCAGGCAGUCCCUGAAUAUUUUACUUUCAGUAAUGAUUUUCCCUGAGAGUUCAUCUUUUAAAACAUUGUCUCUGGUUGGAGAAUGAAGAGCCGCUUCAAAGAGGAAAAAAUAAAGGCUUUCUGGAAAUACUUUAAAAGGUGCCAUGACAACACACCACAAAACAUUUUCCUCCAGUAACAACAUACAAAUGCAUCAAACCAACCAUGUCCAAAGUGCCCACUGAAAACCACUGUCCAUUCACUGAAAGCAACACGGUGGAUCUGGUGAAUGUUAGUAGCAUUCUUCAUAGUGCAACAAUAAUGUCAGUAAAUUGAAACACCUGAAUCUCUUGUACCUCUCAACUCUCACGGUGUUGAAGAAAAAGAGUAGAAUAUCUAAUUACUAACGUUCAUGGUUGGUAUGCUGACACACAGAGAAACUGCAAGUAUGUAAACAGAACAGUAAGGGACAUGGGUCUCUCUGCUGUGUUUACACGCAGGAAAAGCAGAACGUACAUCAAUUACAGUACCAUUUUUUGCUGACCACAUUUGUCACACAAAGGUUUUCUUUCAAGGUAUUGCUUUCUCCUCCCUGUCCCUGAAUUCCACCUUCAGGAGGAUGUAAGAAAAGGGCUAACACUGUCUCUGUGGAAAGUUGAGAG